AUAGGCUCGACAAAGUAACCCCUCGCGGGUGAAAUCAAUGCCUUUGCAAAAGGGGUGUGCAACCUUUCCGCAAAACGGAUAAAUAAAUACCCCGAUGUAGUCAAUCGGACGCUACUUGCAUUGCCGUCUAUUGUGGUAUGGCGGUUUAAUGGUUGGUACUACGGGCAAUCCGAACUCCACAACGAUAAUAAGAUUGUACGGGGUAUUUUCUAUCGAAAUGAACAGC
rnacentral:ncRNA from 1 species